CUUGGUAUCUGAACAAACCAGUCAAACAGAUUCAGUGACAUCUGACCCAGCAGAAAGCACAUCAGCAUCUGUUCAAACCAGUCCCACUGACACAGUAACCUCAGAUCCUGGCCAGACCACCAUGUCAACUGACCUUACAGGUUCUACGGAUACAGUCACAUCUGACCCUGCUGGAACCACCUUGGUAUCUAAUCAAACCAGUCCCACUGACACAGUAACCUCAGAUCCUGGCCAGACAACCUUGGUAUCUCAAUCAACUGGUCCAACUGAUUCAAUAACAACUGAGACGUCAGGCACCACGUCAGCACACAAGCAAACCAGUCCCCCUGAAACAGUAACCUCAGAUUCCGGCCAGACAACCAUGACACCUGACUUUACAGGUUCUACAAAUACAGUCACAUCUGACCCUGCUGGAACCACCUUGGUAUCUAAUCAAACCAGUCCCACUGACACAGCAACCUCAGAUCCUGGCCAGACAACCUUGGUAUCUCAAUCAACUGGUCAAACUGAUUCAAUAACACCUGAGACGUCAGGCACCACGUCAGCACAAGAGCAAACCAGUCCCACUGACAUAGUCACUUCUGAGCCUGUUGGUACCACCUUGGUAUCUGAACAAACCAGUCAAACAGAUUCAGUAACAUCUGACUCAGCAGAAAGCACAUCAGCAUCUGAUCAAACCAGUCCCACUGACACAGUAACCUCAGAUCCUGGCCAGACCACCAUGUCAACUGACUUUACAGGUUCUACGGAUACAGUCACAUCUGACCCUGCUGGAACCACCUUGGUAUCUAAUCAAACCAGUCCCACUGACACAGUAACCUCAGAUCCUGGCCAGACAACCUUGGUAUCUCAAUCAACUGGUCCAACUGAUUCAAUAACAACUGAGACGUCAGGCUCCACAUCAUCACACGAGCAAACCAGUCCCACUGAGACAGUAACCUCAGAUUCCGGCCAGACAACCAUGACACCUGACUUUACAGGUUCUACAAAUACAGUCACAUCUGACCCAGGAGGAACCACCUUGGUAUCUCAAUCAACUGGUCAAACUGAUUCAAUAACACGUGAGACGUCAGGCACCACGGCAGCACACGAGCAAACCAGUCCCACUGACAUAGUCACUUCUGAGCCUGUUGGUACCACCUUGGUAUCUGAACAAACCAGUCAAACAGAUUCAGUAACAUCUGACGCAGCAGAAAGCACAUCAGCAUCUGAUCAAACCAGUCCCACUGACACAGUAACCUCAGAUCCUGGCCAGACCACCAUGUCAACUGACCUUACAGGUUCUACGGAUACAGUCACAUCUGACCCUGCUGGAACCACCUUGGUAUCUAAUCAAACCAGCCCCACUGACACAGUAACCUCAGAUCCUGGCCAGACAACCUUGGUAUCUCAAUCAACUGGUCCAACUGAUUCAAUAACAACUGAGACGUCAGGCUCCACGUCAUUACACGAGCAAACCAGUCCCACUGAGAAAGUAACCUCAGAUUCCGGCCAGACAACCAUGUCAACUGACCUUACAGGUUCUACGGAUACAUUAACAUCUGAGCCUGCUGGAACCACCUUGGUAUCUGAACAAACCAGUCAAACAGAUUCAGUGACAUCGGACCCAGCCGAAAGCACAUCAGCAUCUGUUCAAACCAGUCCCACUGACACAGUAACCUCAGAUCCUGGCCAGACCACCAUGUCAACUGACUUUACAGGUUCUACGGAUACAGUCACAUCUGACCCUGCUGGAACCACCUUGGUAUCUAAUCAAACCAGUCCCACUGACACAGUAACCUCAGAUCCUGGCCAGACAACCUUGGUAUCUCAAUCAACUGGUCAAACUGAUUCAAUAACACCUGAGACGUCAGGCACCACGGCAGCAGACGAGGAAACCAGUCCCACUGACAUAGUCACUUCUGAGCCUGUUGGUACCACCUUGGUAUCUGAACAAACCAGUCAAACAGAUUCACUAACAUCUGACUCGGCAGAAAGCACAUCAGCAUCUGAUCAAACCAGUCCCACUGACACAGUAACCUCAGAUCCUGGCCAGACCACCAUGUCAACUGACUUUACAGGUUCUACGGAUACAGUCACAUCUGACCCUGCUGGAACCACCUUGGUAUCUAAUCAAACCAGUCCCACUGACACAGUAACCUCAGAUCCUGGCCAGACAACCUUGGUAUCUCAAUCAACUGGUCCAACUGAUUCAAUAACACCUGAGACGUCAGGCACCACGUCAGCACAAGAGCAAACCAGUCCCACUGACAUAGUCACUUCUGAGCCUGUUGGUACCACCUUGGUAUCUGAACAAACCAGUCAAACAGAUUCAGUAACAUCUGACUCAGCAGAAAGCACAUCAGCAUCUGAUCAAACCAGUCCCACUGACACAGUAACCUCAGAUCCUGGCCAGACAACCAUGUCAACUGACCUUACAGGUUCUACGGAUACAGUCACAUCUGACCCUGCUGGAACCACCUUGGUAUCUGAACAAACCAGUCAAACAGAUUCAGUGACAUCUGACCCAGCAGAAAGCACAUCAGCAUCUGAUCAAACCAGUCCCACUGACACAGUAACCUCAGAUCCUGGCCAGACAACCUUGGUAUCUCAAUCAACUGGUCCAACUGAUUCAAUAACAACUGAGACGUCAGGCACCACGUCAGCACAAGAGCAAACCAGUCCCACUGACAUAGUCACUUCGGAGCCUGUUGGAACCACCUUGGAAUCUGAACAAACCAUUCAAACAGAUUCAGUAACAUCUGCCCCAGCAGUUACCACAUCAGCAUCUGAUCAAACCUUUCCUACUGACACAGUAACCUCAGAUCCUGGCCAGACCACCAUGUCAACUGAGCUUACAGGUUCUACGGAUACAGUCACAUCUGACCCUGCUGGAACCACCUUGGUAUCUGAACAAACCAGUCAAACAGAUUCAGUAACAUCUGACGCAGCAAAAAGCACAUCAGCAUCUGAUCAAACCAGUCCCACUGACACAGUAACCUCAGAUCCUGGCCAGACCACCAUGUCAACUGAGCUUACAGGUUCUACGGAUACAGUCACAUCUGACCCUGCUGGAACCACCUUGGUAUCUCAAUCAACUGGUCCAACAGAUUCAAUAACACCUGAGUCGUCAGGCACCACGGCAGCACACGAGCAAACCAGUCCCACUGACAUAGUCACUUCUGAGCCUGUUGGCACCACCUUGGUAUCUGAACAAACCAGUCAAACAGAUUCAGUAACAUCUGACCCAGUAGGGAGCACACCCGCAUCUGAUCAAACUGUUUAUACUGACAAAGUAACCUCAGAUUCUGGCCAGACAUCCAUUUCACCUGACCUUACAAGUUCUACAGAUACAGUAACUUCUGACCAAGCUGUAACCACCUUGGUAUCUCAAUCAACUGGUCCAACUGAUUCACUUACAACACAACCUGAACAAACCUCUGCUACAGAUCCACUAACCUCUGAUCCAUCCCAGACCACAUCAGCCAAGGAAACAUCAACAGAUCUACCCACUGAACCGCCCACCACUUUACUAACUACACAAUCAACUGUACCGUCCACUAAACCACCAACUGAUCCACCAACCACACCACCAACAACAACACCUGCCACGCAAACCACUACUCAACCAAUCAGCACAGUGGCGCCCUUAGAUUGCCAAAAUGGUUCGGAAAAUAAUGGAACACACUGCAUAUGUCUUGUUGGAUUCAAUGGAACCUCUGUGAAUAUGUUGUCACUGUUGAGCCAGAUACCUUGAACAGGACCGUCGUUGUAAAUGUGGUGAUCAAUCAGGACUACAAACCCGAAUAUGAUAAUGAGAAGUCACCUGAAUACAAAGAGUUUGUUGGAAAUUUUACCAAAAAGAUGGAAACAUAUUAUACUGAAAAGAAGAUAGAAAACUUUAAAGGAGUGGUGGUAACUAGUGUGAGCCCUGGAGCCCCUGCGGUCAGAUUCUCGGAUAAGACUUUGAAAAAG